rnacentral:rRNA from 1 species
GACGAACGCUGGCGGCGUGCUUAACACAUGCAAGUGGAGCGACGAACCGGGGCUUGCCCCGGGGCAGAGCCGCGAACGGGUGAGUAACACGUGGGUAACCCACCCCGAUGACCGGGACAACCCGAGGAAACUCGGGCUAAUACCGGAUGUGCUCCUUGACCUCGAGGUCAAGGCGUAAAGAUAGCUUCGGCCUUCGCAUCGGGACGGGCCCGCGGCCCAUUAGCUUGUUGGUGGGGUAAAGGCCUACCAAGGCGACGANGGGUAGCUGGUCUGAGAGGACGAUCAGCCACACUGGGACUGAGACACGGCCCAGACUCCUACGGGAGGCAGCAGUGGGGAAUCUUGCGCAAUGCGCGAAAGCGUGACGCAGCAACGCCGCGUGA